CCCAGACUCCUACGGGAGGCAGCAGUGGGGAAUAUUGGGCAAUGGGCGCAAGCCUGACCCAGCAACGCCGCGUGAAGGAAGAAGGCUUUCGGGUUGUAAACUUCUUUUAAGAGGGAAGAGCAGAAGACGGUACCUCUUGAAUAAGCCACGGCUAACUACGUGCCAGCAGCCGCGGUAAUACGUAGGUGGCAAGCGUUGUCCGGAUUUACUGGGUGUAAAGGGCGUGUAGCCGGGCUGACAAGUCAGAUGUGAAAUUCCGGGGCUCAACCCCGGACCUGCAUUUGAAACUGUUGGUCUUGAGUAUCGGAGAGGCAGGCGGAAUUCCUAGUGUAGCGGUGAAAUGCGUAGAUAUUAGGAGGAACACCAGUGGCGAAGGCGGUCUGCUGGACAGCAACUGACGCUGAGGCGCGAAAGCGUGGGGAGCAAACAGGAUUAGAUACCCGUGUAC
rnacentral:rRNA from 1 species